AGUGAACGCUGGCGGUAGGCCUAACACAUGCAAGUCGAACGGCAGCACAGUAAGAGCUUGCUCUUACGGGUGGCGAGUGGCGGACGGGUGAGGAAUACAUCGGAAUCUACUUUUUCGUGGGGGAUAACGUAGGGAAACUUACGCUAAUACCGCAUACGACCUACGGGUGAAAGCAGGGGAUCUUCGGACCUUGCGCGAUCCAUUGAGCCGAUGUCGGAUUAGCUAGUUGGCGGGGUAAGGCCCACCAAGGCGACGAUCCGUAGCUGGUCUGAGAGGAAGAACAGCCACACUGGAACUGAGACACGGUCCAGACUCCUACGGGAGGCAGCAGUGGGGAAUAUUGGACCAUGGGCGCAAGCCUGAUCCAGCCAUACCGCGUGGGUGAAGAAGGCCUUCGGGUUGUAAAGCCCUUUUGUUGGGAAAGACAAGCAGCAGGUUAAUACCCCGCUGUUCUGACGGUACCCAAAGAAUAAGCACCGGCUAACUUCUUG
rnacentral:rRNA from 1 species